rnacentral:tRNA from 1 species
UAGGGAGACCAACUGGAAUUAACCUAAUCCACUUUCACGGUUAAUAUUCAGAUAUCCCUGGUCGUUCGAGGAAAUUGUUGUCAAACGUGCUUUCAAACUAUUACCUAGUUCGGUUGAUGGGCUAUUAGCUCAGUUGGUUAGAGCGCACCCCUGAUAAGGGUGAGGUCUCUGGUUCAAAUCCAGAAUGGCCCACCUUAAUUAGAAAUUGAAACGAGGAAAUUAAAGAUUGUUUAUGAUUUUUAAUUUUUAAUGUUUAAUUUUUAAUUUCACCAGUGGGGGUAUAGCUCAGUUGGUAGAGCGCUGCCUUUGCAAGGCAGAUGUCAGCGGUUCGAGUCCGCUUACCUCCACUCUUACCCAACCAGCCGAAAACAAGCAGAAACAAAAGACCAAAAACAAAAGAAUAAGUCAAAAAACUGUUGCGCUUUUAGCAAUAUGUGAUAGACUAGAAAGAGUGACUAUAAAAGCUCAGCACCUAGAUUCAGCUACUAGCUAAUCGGAAUGCUGGUCUUCCAAGUCCAGCCAGAACCUUGAAAACUGCAUAGAAAUAAGUCAUCAAAAAGUUUGACUGACAUAGCCAGGAAUUUAUUCUAGGUGAAAGUCAAAUCAAGCCGACAAUCAAACAAAAAAAGU